UACGGGGGGGGCAAGCGUUGUUCGGAAUUACUGGGCGUAAAGGGCUCGUAGGCGGCCAACUAAGUCAGACGUGAAAUCCCUCGGCUUAACCGGGGAACUGCGUCUGAUACUGGAUGGCUUGAGUUUGGGAGAGGGAUGCGGAAUUCCGGGUGUAGUGGUGAAAUGCGUAGAGAUCCGGAGGAAUACCAGUGGCGCAAGCGGCGCUCUGGGUCGCAUCUGACACUGAGACGCGAAGGCAUGGGGAGCGAACGGG
rnacentral:rRNA from 1 species